rnacentral:rRNA from 1 species
AUUGAACGCUGGCGGCAGGCUUAACACAUGCAAGUCGAACGGAGAAUUUUAUUUCGGUAGAAUUCUUAGUGGCGAACGGGUGAGUAACGCGUAGACAACCUGCCUCUUAGAUGGGGACAACAUCGCGAAAGCGGUGCUAAUACCGAAUGAAGUGGAGCUUCCGCAUGGAAGCAUCACCAAAGGUGGCCUCUAUUUAUAAGCUACCACUGAGAGAUGGGUCUGCGUCUGAUUAGCUAGUUGGCGGGGCAAUGGCCCACCAAGGCGACGAUCAGUAGCCGGUCUGAGAGGGUGAACGGCCACAUUGGGACAGAGACACGGCCCAAACUCCUACGGGAGGCAGCAGUGGGGAAUCUUCCGCAAUGGACGAAAGUCUGACGGAGCAACGCCGCGUGAGUGAAGAAGGUUUUCGGAUCGUAAAGCUCUGUUGUUUGAGACGAAUGUGCAGACUUUGAAUAAGGGUUUGUAAUGACGGUAUUAAACGAGAAAGCCACGGCUAACUACGUGCCAGCAGCCGCAGUAA